AAAUAGCACCAUAUUCCCUAUAGAUCAGGUCAAAUGGCACCCUAUUCCCUAGACCAGGUCAAAUGGCACCCUAUUCCCUAUAGACCAGGUCAAAUGGCACCAUAUUCCUUAUAGACCAGGUCAAAUGACACCCUAUUCCCUAUAGACCAG